AUUGAACGCUGGCGGCAUGCCUUACACAUGCAAGUCGAACGGCAGCACGGGAGCAAUCCUGGUGGCGAGUGGCGAACGGGUGAGUAAUAUAUCGGAACGUGCCCAGUCGUGGGGGAUAACGUAGCGAAAGCUACGCUAAUACCGCAUACGAUCUAUGGAUGAAAGCGGGGGAUCGCAAGACCUCGCGCGAUUGGAGCGGCCGAUAUCAGAUUAGGUAGUUGGUGAGGUAAAGGCUCACCAAGCCGACGAUCUGUAGCUGGUCUGAGAGGACGACCAGCCGCACUGGGACUGAGACACGGCCCAGACUCCUACGGGAGGCAGCAGUGGGGAAUUUUGGACAAUGGGCGCAAGCCUGAUCCAGCAAUGCCGCGUGCAGGAUGAAGGCCUUCGGGUUGUAAACUGCUUUUGUACGGAACGAAACGGUGAGCUCUAAUACAGUUUGCUAAUGACGGUACCGUAAGAAUAAGCACCGGCUAACUACGUG
rnacentral:rRNA from 1 species